GUCUUUAGAAUACACAACAUCUGGGUACACCCGUGGUUUCCUCAUAAGGCAAUCUUUAUUGAAGUAGCACAGAAAACAGACAACAUUUUGGCACUCUUAUGUGCCUUUGUCAAGUGUCAAAACUUUGUCAGUUUUCUGUGCACCUUCAAUAAAGACUGCCUUAUGAGGAAACCACGGGUGUGUCCAGAUGUUGUUUAUUCUGAAGAU